rnacentral:rRNA from 1 species
CAGUAGCCGCGGUAUACGAAGGGGGCUAGCGUUGUUCGGAUUUACUGGGCGUAAAGCGCACGUAGGCGGAUCGAUCAGUCAGGGGUGAAAUCCCAGAGCUCAACUCUGGAACUGCCUUUGAUACUGUCGAUCUGGAGUAUGGAAGAGGUGAGUGGAAUUCCGAGUGUAGAGGUGAAAUUCGUAGAUAUUCGGAGGAACACCAGUGGCGAAGGCGGCUCACUGGUCCAUUACUGACGCUGAGGUGCGAAAGCGUGGGGAGCAAACAGGAUUAGAUACCCCAGUAGUCCCUGUCUCUUAUACA